UACGGAGGGGGCUAGCGUUGUUAGGAAUUACUGGGCGUAAAGCGCGCGUAGGCGGACCUGCAAGUCGGGGGUGAAAGCCCGAGGCUCAACCUCGGAACUGCCUUUGAUACUGAGAAGCUCGAGUCCGGGAGAGGUGAGUGGAACUGCGAGUGUAGAGGUGAAAUUCGUAGAUAUUCGCAAGAACACCAGUGGCGAAGGCGGCUCACUGGCCCGGUACUGACGCUGAGGUGCGAAAGCGUGGGGAGCAAACAGG
rnacentral:rRNA from 1 species